GAUGAACGCUGGCGGCGUGCUUAACACAUGCAAGUCGAACGAGAAGUGAAGACGGAAACCUUCGGGCGGAAGGCUUUAUUUCGAGUGGCGGACGGGUGAGUAACGCGUGGGUAACCUGCCUCAUACAGGGGGAUAACAGUUGGAAACGACUGUUCAUACCGCAUAAGACCACAGCACCGCAUGGUGCGGGGGUAAAAACUCCGGUGGUAUGAGAUGGACCCGCGUUCGAUUAGCCAGUUGGCGGGGUAACGGCCCACCAAAGCGACGAUCGAUAGCCGAUCUGAGAGGAUGACCGGCCACAUUGGGACUGAGACACGGCCCAAACUCCUACGGGAGGCAGCAGUGGGGAAUAUUGCACAAUGGGGGAAACCCUGAUGCAGCGACGCCGGGUGAGUGAAGAAGUAUUUCGGUAUGUAAAGCGUUAUCAGCAGGGAAGAAAAUGACGGUACCUGAGUAAGAAGCCCCGGCUAACUACGUG
rnacentral:rRNA from 1 species